rfam:Parcubacteria bacterium GW2011_GWF2_38_76 TT05_C0010, whole genome shotgun sequence.
GCGGGAUUGGUUAAAUGGUAUAAUAUCGGUUUUCCAAACCGAGGUUGGGAGUUCGAUUCUCCCAUCCCGCA